rnacentral:rRNA from 1 species
AGAGUUUGAUCAUGGCUCAGAAUCAACGCUGGCGGCGUGCCUAACACAUGCAAGUCGAACGAGAAAGUGGAGCAAUCCAUGAGUAAAGUGGCGCACGGGUGAGUAACACGUGACUAACCUACCCUUGAGUGGGGGAUAACUUCGGGAAACCGAGGCUAAUACCGCAUAAUACCUACGGGUCAAAGGAGCAAUUCGCUUUAGGAGGGGGUCGCGGUCGAUUAGUUAGUUGGCGGGGUAAUGGCCCACCAAGACAGUGAUCGAUAUCCGGCCUGAGAGGGCGCACGGACACACUGGAACUGAAACACGGUCCAGACUCCUACGGGAGGCAGCAGUGGGGAAUCUUGCGCAAUGGGGGAAACCCUGACGCAGCAACGCCGCGUGGAGGAUGAAGUCCCUUGGGACGUAAACUCCUUUCGAUCGGGACGAUUAUGACUGUACCGGAAGAAGAAGCCCCGGCUAACUUCGUGCCAGCAGCCGCGGUAAUACGAGGGGGGCAAGCGUUGUUCGGAAUUAUUGGGCGUAAAGGGCGCGUAGGCGGCCUGACAAGUCUUGUGUGAAAUCUUCGGGCUCAACUCGAAGUCUGCACGAGAAACUGUCUGGCUUGAGUGUGGGAGAGGUGAGUGGAAUUCCCGGUGUAGCGGUGAAAUGCGUAGAUAUCGGGAGGAACACCUGUGGCGAAAGCGGCUCACUGGACCACAACUGACGCUGAGGCGCGAAAGCUAGGGGAGCAAACAGGAUUAGAUACCCUGGUAGUCCUAGCCCUAAACGAUGAUCGCUUGGUGUGACGGGUACCCAAUCCCGCCGUGCCGUAGCUAACGCGUUAAGCGAU